ensembl:snoRNA
UGACAUGUUAUUCAGCAAAUAGACACAACUCACUGUGUGCCUGAAUUGAAGAAUGUGGCUGGAAAAGGAACAGAUUGUGCUUUCCUCACUGCAUAGUUAGUUGCAGUGGUGACAAUGAGACCUGUAACAGGU